rnacentral:rRNA from 1 species
AUACAUUUGAUGGCGACCGGCAAACGGGUGCGGAACACGUACACAACCUUCCUAUAAGUGGGGAAUAGCCCAGAGAAAUUUGGAUUAAUACCCCGUAACAUAAUGAUGUGGCAUCAUAUUAUUAUUAUAGCUUCGGCGCUUAUUGAUGGGUGUGCGGCUGAUUAGAUAGUUGGCGGGGUAACGGCCCACCAAGUCUACGAUCAGUAGCUGAUGUGGGAGCAUGAUCAGCCACACGGGCACUGAGGCACGGGCCCGACUCCUACGGGAGGCAGCAGUAAGGAAUAUUGGUCAAUGGACGCAAGUCUGAACCAGCCAUGCCGCGUGAAGGAUUAAGGUCCUCUGGAUUGUAAACUUCUUUUAUCUGGGACGAAAAAAGGCGAUUCUUCGUCACUUGACGGUACCAGAUGAAUAAGCACCGGCUAACUCCGUGCCAGCAGCCGCGGUAAUACGGAGGGUGCAAGCGUUAUCCGGAUUCACUGGGUUUAAAGGGUGCGUAGGCGGGCAGGUAAGUCAGUGGUGAAAUCCUGGAGCUUAACUCCAGAACUGCCAUUGAUACUAUCUGUCUUGAAUAUUGUGGAGGUAAGCGGAAUAUGUCAUGUAGCGGUGAAAUGCUUAGAUAUGACAUAGAACACCUAUUGCGAAGGCAGCUUACUACGCAUAUAUUGACGCUGAGGCACGAAAGCGUGGGGAUCAAACAGGAUUAGAUACCCUGGUAGUCCACGCCCUAAACGAUGGAUACUCGACAUACGCGAUACACU